rnacentral:rRNA from 1 species
GGUUGCUUGGCGGCGGGCUAUACAUGCAGUCGAGCGAACAGAUAAGGAGCUUGCUCCUUUGACGUUAGCGGCGGACGGGUGAGUAACACGUGGGUAACCUACCUAUAAGACUGGAAUAACUCCGGGAAACCGGGGCUAAUGCCGGAUAACAUAUAGAACCGCAUGGUUCUAUAGUGAAAGAUGGUUUUGCUAUCACUUAUAGAUGGACCCGCGCCGUAUUAGCUAGUUGGUAAGGUAAUGGCUUACCAAGGCGACGAUACGUAGCCGACCUGAGAGGGUGAUCGGCCACACUGGAACUGAGACACGGUCCAGACUCCUACGGGAGGCAGCAGUAGGGAAUCUUCCGCAAUGGGCGAAAGCCUGACGGAGCAACGCCGCGUGAGUGAUGAAGGGUUUCGGCUCGUAAAACUCUGUUAUUAGGGAAGAACAUAUGUGUAAGUAACUGUGCACAUCUUGACGGUACCUAAUCAGAAAGCCACGGCUAACUACGUGCCAGCAGCCGCGGUAAUACGUAGGUGGCAAGCGUUAUCCGGAAUUAUUGGGCGUAAAGCGCGCGUAGGCGGUUUCUUAAGUCUGAUGUGAAAGCCCACGGCUCAACCGUGGAGGGUCAUUGGAAACUGGGAAACUUGAGUGCAGAAGAGGAAAGUGGGAAUUCCAUGUGUAGCGGUGAAAUGCGCAGAGAUAUGGAGGAACACCAGUGGCGAAGGCGACUUUCUGGUCUGUAACUGACGCUGAUGUGCGAAAGCGUGGGGAUCAAACAGGAUUAGAUACCCCUGGUAGUCCACGCCGUAAACGAUGAGUGCUGAAUGUUAGGGGGGGUUUCCGCCCCCUUAGUGCUGCAACUAACGCAUUUGGCACUCCCGCCUGGGGGAGUACGACCGGCAAGGGUGGAACUCAAAGGAAUUGGAGGGGGACCCGCACAGCCGGUGAAGCUGUGGGUUGAAUUUCGAGCGGCGCGGGGACCGUGACGGAUCUUGACUCCCUGGACCACUGUGGGAUUGAGCUGUCCCCUUCGGGGGAAAGUGGGGGGUGAGGCGUGAGAUGAUGGUAACGCGCGAGGGGGGGGAGUU